rnacentral:rRNA from 1 species
AGCGUUAUCCGGAAUCAUUGGGCGUAAAGCGCCUGUAGGUUGUUUAAUAAGUCCGUUGUUAAAGACUAGGGCUUAACCCUAGGAAAGCGAUGGAAACUGAUAGACUUGAGUAUGGCAGGGGUAGAGGGAAUUUCUAGUGUAGCGGUGAAAUGCGUAGAUAUUAGAAAGAACACCGGUGGCGAAAGCGCUCUACUGGACCAUUACUGACACUGAGAGGCGAAAGCUAGGGGAGCGAAAGGGAUUAGAUACCCCUGUAGUCCUAGCCGUAAACGAUGGAUACUAGAUGUUGUGCAAUUUGGACAGUAUCGUAGCUAACGCGUUAAGUAUCCCCGCCUGGGGAGUACGCUCGCAAGGGUGAAACUCAAAGGAAUUGACGGGGGCCCGCACAAGCGGUGGAGCAUGUGGUUUAAUUCGAUGCAACGCGAAGAACUUUACCAGGGCUUGACAUACUACAGAUCUUUUUGAGAAAGAAGAGUGCCUUCGGGAAUGUAGAUACAGGUGGUGCAUGGCUGUCGUCAGCUCGUGUCGUGAGAUGUUGGGUUAAGUCCCGCAACGAGCGCAACCCUCGUUUUUAGUUGCCAAUUUAUUGGGAUCUCUAGAAAGACUGCCGGUGACAAACCGGAGGAAGGUGAGGAUGACGUCAAGUCAGCAUGCCCUUAUGUCCUGGGCCACACACGUGCUACAAUGUAAAGACAAAGAGUCGCCAAUUCGCGAGAAUGAGCUAAUCUCAUAAA